GAGCACGUAGGUGGGUUUGUAAGUCAGAUGUGAAAGCCUUCUGUUCAACGGAAGAAUUGCAUCUGAAACUGCAAAUCUUGAGUAUAGGAGGGGAGAAUGGAACUUCUGGUGGAGCGGUGAAAUGCGUAGAUAUCAGAAGGAACGCCGGCGGCGAAAGCGAUUCUCUGGCCUAUUACUGACACUCAGUGUGCGAAAGCUAGGGGAGCAAACGGGAUUAGAUACCCCGGUAGUCCUAGCCGUAAACGAUGGGCACUAAGUAGAGGGGUUUU
rnacentral:rRNA from 1 species